GAUGAACGCUGGCGGCGUGCCUAAUACAUGCAAGUCGAGCGAACGGACGAGAAGCUUGCUUUUCUGAUGUUAGCGGCGGACGGGUGAGUAACACGUGGAUAACCUACCUAUCAGACUGGGAUCACUUCGGGAAACCGGCGCUAAUACCGGAUAAUAUUUUGAACCGCAUGGUUCAAAAGUGAAAGACGGUCUUGCUGUCACUUCUAGAUGGAUCCGCGCUGCAUUAGCUAGUUGGUAAGGUAACGGCUUACCAAGGCAACGAUGCAUAGCCGACCUGAGAGGGGGAUCGGCCACACGGGAAGUGAGACACGGUCCAGACUCCUACGGGAGGCAGCAGUAGGGAAUCUGCCGCAAUGGGCGAAAGCCUGACGGAGCAACGCCGCGUGAGUGAUGAAGGUCUUGGGAGCGUAAAACUCUGUUAUGAGGGAAGAACAGAUGUGUAAGUAACUGUGCACAGCUUGACGGUACCUAGUCAGAAAGCCACGGCUAACUACGUG
rnacentral:rRNA from 1 species